GACGAACGCUGGCGGCGUGCUUAACACAUGCAAGUCGAAUGAUGAAGCUGGAGCUUGCUCCGGUGGAUUAGUGGUGAACGGGUGAGUAACACGUGAGCAAUCUGCCCUUGACUCUGGGAUAACUGCGGGAAACUGUAGCUAAUACCGGAUACUUUCACUGGAAGGCAUCUUCUGGUGAAGAAAGAAUUUCGGUCAAGGAUGAGCUCGCGGCCUAUCAGCUUGUUGGUGAGGUAACGGCUCACCAAGGCGACGACGGGUGGCCGGCCUGAGAGGGAGACCGGCCACACUGGGACUGAGACACGGCCCAGACUCCUACGGGAGGCAGCAGUGGGGAAGAUUGCACAAUGGGCGCAGCCUGAUGCAGCGACGCCGCGUGAGGGAUGAAGGUCUUCGGAUUGUAAACCUCUUUCAGUAGGGACGAAGCGAAAGUGACGGUACCUAAAGAAGAAGCACCGGCUAACUACGUGCCAGCCGCCGCGGUAA
rnacentral:rRNA from 1 species